GCCGAUUUCUUUCAAAAUUCUUACAGACCUUAAGGUUCAUGAGUCGAACGUACCCAGCGAGUUUCGUUCCGAACAACAUCCGUUAACCCUUUCAAAUAGGUGCUUAAAAUUGUUUGGCCAAUGGCAGCCAUGUUUUUUUGAGAUAUGCAAAUGUCCUCAUAGGUACUUGUGCCCCUUCAGACCAAGACACUGCAUACCAAUUUUCAAGUCGAUCGAGCCAACGGUUGCCUAGUUAUAGCCAUUUAUGUGUUUUUUAAAUCUUAUUGCGCCCCCAAGUGGCAGAGAUGCGCAAUUUUUUUGAUUUGACCAAAGAUUGAGCUCAUACAUAUGUGUACCGAGUUUGGUGAAGAUAUCUCAUUCCGUUCAAGAGUUAUAGUCAAAAUAGUAUUUGGCUAACGUUAGCAUAGACGCUUUUUGGCGUACUGUUUCGCGUAAGAAUUGAAAUUUCAACUUUUUUUUAAUAAUUAUUGAUAUUGAGUGUCCAGGGAAUAUUUAUGAAGUGGUUUGGUUCUGAUUGGUUGAAAAUCCUAGGACUAGUUCGCAAAAGUAGGUUUCGGAUAUAGCUCGAUUUUGCGAGAAAACGGUGCGUCGUAGACCCCAAAAAGGCGCCGUGCACUUUUGUUCGGGCUAACCCAAGGAUUGCAACAAUGCCAUGUUUUUGAGUCUACGGCAAACGGUAUACGAUUUACGGCCAAAAAUGUCCCAAAUUUUUGUUUUUUGCGCUGUAGCGCCCCCGUUAGGCCGAUUGGGCUGAGACUUUGAUAAGUUCUCCCCAAAUUGAGCUCUACGAUCUGUCCAAAUUUCAGCUCUCUAGGCCUUACGGUUUGGGCUGCACGUUCAGUUCUAGGGCAGAAGAAUAAUAAUAAUUAAAGCUGCAAGCAGCAUUUUACCGGGGUUCAAGCACAUUAAGGCCUCUGAGGUGGUCAGAGCCAACCUGGAUGCAUGGAUGACAGUUAAACACAUCCAAAAUGGAGAACAGGCUAACAGACAGACACACACACUGAAAGUAAAUAAUUAGACUAAUAUAUUAAUACUCUAUAAGCAUAUGCACACACACACACACACACACACACAAAGACACACAUAUACAUGCACAAACAUUUUGUUGCAGAUAUAGGUAUUUGAAAUAAGUGAUAGGUGACAAUAAACUUAUUGCAAGUCUUCUCUUUUUAAGAGUUUAGAUGUCAUUUUCAGGUUAAACUGUAAUCACAAUGUGGCAAAAUAGUAAAAACUGAUAUAUCUGUAAGAACAAAAUGGAAAACAUUGACUCAAUGAGAUUUAAAAUGUUAUAACAGUUACAUGUUUAAUGUUUUGGGAUGAAUUCAUGAAUCCUUUCAACAGUACUGUUCAACUUAACUGAAUGAGCCCAUUAGUGGUCUUCCACUGCCAUCUAGAGGUUAUAAAUUGCAUUUACUCAAGCAACACUGUUUUUAAACAUAA